rnacentral:lncRNA from 1 species
GGCCAGCCCGCGCCUUUCGCGCUUCUGCCCUGGCCCUCUGCGGGCCGCUCCGCCGGUGCUGUCCCUGGGCGCCUCCGUGCUCUCAGCCAACCACCUCUGAGAGCGCCCACUCGAGCGCCCCGGGAGCCAGAGGGCGGGGGUCCUCGCCGGGACCCUCCUGUGGGCCCAGGGGAAAUAAUGAAGAUGUUUCAUUUUCAAGACCAGCAGAUCUUGACCUUAUUCAGUCAACUCCCUUUAAACCCCUGGCACUGAAAACACCACCUCGUGUACUUACGCUGAGUGAAAGACCACUAGAUUUUCUGGAUUUAGAAAGACCUCCUACAACCCCUCAAAAUGAAGAAAUCCGAGCAGUUGGCAGACUAAAAAGAGAGCGGUCUAUGAGUGAAAAUGCUGUUCGCCAAAAUGGACAGCUGGUCAGAAAUGAUUCUCUUGUGACACCAUCGCCACAACAGGCUCGGGUCUGUCCUCCCCAUAUGUUACCUGAAGAUGGAGCUAAUCUUUCCUCUGCUCGUGGCAUUUUGUCGCUUAUCCAGUCUUCUACUCGUAGGGCAUACCAGCAGAUCUUGGAUGUGCUGGAUGAAAAU